AAGGGGGGCGGCAAANUUGUUUCCCGGGGUCCGCAACAGAAUUAAUGAAGCGUUGCGUCCUCUCUGAACGUUUAGCGGCGGACGGGUGAGUAACACGUGGGUAACCUACCUAUAAGACUGGAAUAACUCCGGGAAACCGGGGCUAAUGCCGGAUAACAUAUAGAACCGCAUGGUUCUAUAGUGAAAGAUGGUUUUGCUAUCACUUAUAGAUGGACCCGCGCCGUAUUAGCUAGUUGGUAAGGUAAUGGCUUACCAAGGCGACGAUACGUAGCCGACCUGAGAGGGUGAUCGGCCACACUGGAACUGAGACACGGUCCAGACUCCUACGGGAGGCAGCAGUAGGGAAUCUUCCGCAAUGGGCGAAAGCCUGACGGAGCAACGCCGCGUGAGUGAUGAAGGGUUUCGGCUCGUAAAACUCUGUUAUUAGGGAAGAACAUAUGUGUAAGUAACUGUGCACAUCUUGACGGUACCUAAUCAGAAAGCCACGGCUAACUACGUGCCAGCAGCCGCGGUAAUACGUAGGUGGCAAGCGUUAUCCGGAAUUAUUGGGCGUAAAGCGCGCGUAGGCGGUUUCUUAAGUCUGAUGUGAAAGCCCACGGCUCAACCGUGGAGGGUCAUUGGAAACUGGGAAACUUGAGUGCAGAAGAGGAGAGUGGAAUUCCAUGUGUAGCGGUGAAAUGGGCAGAGAUAUGGAGGAACACCAGUGGCGAAGGCGACUUUCUGGUCUGUAACUGACGCUGAUGUGCGAAAGCGUGGGGAUCAAACAGGAUUAGAUACCCUGGUAGUCCACGCCGUAAACGAUGAAUGCUAAGUGUUAGGGGGUUUCCGCCCCUUAUUGCUGCAGCUAACGCAUUAAGCACUCCGCCUGGGGAGUACGACCGCAGGGUGGAAACUCAAAGGAAUUGACGGGGACCCGCACAACCGGUGGAUCAUGUGGUUUAUUUCGAAGCAACGCCGAGGAACCUUACCAAAUCUUGGCG
rnacentral:rRNA from 1 species